GCACAUGCGGAAGGAAGCUAUGAAGACUGUAUUUAAACACUUGUUUCUGACUCGAAAUAUGAAAUUCUAAACAAAAAUAAUGAAUCUUGAAAAUUAUAAUAACAAUUCGCCCGCUUGUCAGAGUGUCUAAAUUUUGUUACAGAGUUCCUUAUUCUCAUAUUCUUGUUUCAGAUAAGAUUUAUAAGCAUAUCCAAAUUAUAUUAUUAUCUACAUCUUUCAUUUGUAAUUUUGUGUUUAUAUGUUUAGUGAAUUAGAAAUUUAUAGCAAGCAGCUAUGUACAUUUUUGGGUUAGUGUGAAAAUUUGCCCAUUUAUUAUUAUUAUUUUCUUUGUAGCUUUUUAGUAAUACUUUUGUGGUAUGCAAGUCGAUUGCAGAGCUAUGCAGGAGAUGGCAUCGUCGAUUUUUGAAAGCGGAAGUUCUUUUAGAGUUCAAAAAAUCAUUAUUUUGGACAGUUAGAUGCAAAAAAUAAUUCAUCGAUGGAGUACAAUCUGCCAUACAUAACUCAAGUUGCCAUGCAUUUUUUCUGCUCCACUACAUUCUUUCCUUAUGUGUGAUCUUUUUUAUCAUCAUUUCUCAGAAGUUCCAUUAACUCUCAUGAUCUUUUCCUUCGCCACAGGAUCCGCCCAGAUGUCGAUGUUUUAUGUGUUCCAUUAUAAUAAUCACCAUCCUCUCCAUGUGAAAGUUUAAAUGUGUUGCUCUACAUGUCAGCACCCAAAAUUUUUGCCUUCCUUGAUUGUGUUUCAUCAAGCGAUUAAAGUGUUCAAGGGGAAAAAUAUCUAUCCAUCUUAAGUUCCUUACACAACAAAUGAAAGAUUAUAAAUGAAUUCAUAAAUAACAUCAUGACUCCUUACAGAAACAUGGCACAGCUAUAGGAUGAAACAUUUUGCAGGAAAAAUGAAGAUGGUUUGAAUUUUAUUGACAGAAUGUAAUAUGUUAUUGUAAAAUAAUUUUUUAAGAGUAAUUAAAUAUAAACAGAUAUACUUGUAAGGCAACCAAAACUGUAAUUAAAAUUAUUGCAUAAAAGUGAUAAAUAUUGUAAUGAUUAUAGAUAUAUGUAUAUAGA